GUGCUCACUUCGGCAGCACAUAUACUAAAAUUGGAACAAUACAGAGAGGUUUAGCAUGGCCCCUGCACAAGGAUGGCAUGCAAAUUCAUAAAGCACUCCAUAAGAAAUAACUUUUUUUU
ensembl:snRNA U6 U6 spliceosomal RNA